rnacentral:tRNA from 1 species
GCCUGGCUGGCUCAGUUAGUAGAGCAUGCGACUCUUGAUCUCAAAGUUGUGAGUUCGAGCCCCACAUUAGGCG